rnacentral:rRNA from 1 species
UUAGCCCUAAACACAAAUAAUUAUAAAAACAAAAUUAUUCGCCAGAGUACUACCGGCAACGGCCUAAAACUCAAAGGACUUGGCGGUGCUUUACACCCUUCUAGAGGAGCCUGUUCUAUAAUCGAUAAACCCCGAUAAACCUCACCAAUUCUUGCUAAUACAGUCUAUAUACCGCCAUCUUCAGCAAACCCUAAAAAGGAAUAAAAGUAAGCAUAAUCAUAACACAUAAAAACGUUAGGUCAAGGUGUAACCUAUGAACUGGGAAGAAAUGGGCUACAUUUUCUACCACAAGAAAAUCACACGAAAGUUAUUAUGAAACUAAUAACCAAAGGAGGAUUUAGUAGUAAACUAAGAAUAGAGUGCUUAGUUGAAUUAGGCCAUGAAGCACGC